CAAAUGAAUUGACGGGGGCCCGCACAAGCGGUGGAGCAUGUGGUUUAAUUCGAUGCAACGCGAAGAACCUUACCUGGUCUUGACAUCCACAGAACUUUCCAGAGAUGGAUUGGUGCCUUCGGGAACUGUGAGACAGGUGCUGCAUGGCUGUCGUCAGCUCGUGUUGUGAAAUGUUGGGUUAAGUCCCGCAACGAGCGCAACCCUUAUCCUUUGUUGCCAGCGGUCCGGCCGGGAACUCAAAGGAGACUGCCAGUGAUAAACUGGAGGAAGGUGGGGAUGACGUCAAGUCAUCAUGGCCCUUACGACCAGGGCUACACACGUGCUACAAUGGCGCAUACAAAGAGAAGCGACCUCGCGAGAGCAAGCGGACCUCAU
rnacentral:rRNA from 1 species